CAUUUUGCCAAAAAAUAAAAAAAUAAAUAAACUGUUUGUUUAAUGAGUUAAUUGUAAAUAAAAUAUUUUAAUGUUUAUUACUGAUGAGAGAUGAUAAGUUAAAGUAUAACUAAAGUAAUAAUAGUUUUUAAGCCCCUGUCAGUCACGACCUUUUGAAUCAUUCUAACGUUUCCUCUAACGUCGCCUUACAGGAAGUUUGUGUUAAACGAGUAUACGAGGGUCCGGGUAACGAGAUGGCUCAACAAAAUCUGAGAGCAGGAACCAAAGAGGUGCUUUUGAAAAUACUGGAAGCCUUGAAGGAUGACCAAUUCGAAAAGUUCAAGUGGUAUCUGGAAAACAAUGCUGGUAUCUCAGCAUGUGAACUGCAGCAUGCCAAGAGGCAGGACACCGUGGAUCUGAUAGUGAACACCUACCCUGCGCAGGCCAUGAAGGUGACCAGAUCAUUUUUGGAGAGCAUCAAGAGAAACGACCUGGCCCAGCAGCUGCCACAAAACAGCUGAAAAGCUUAAAUAUGUUUAAAGUGAGAAAGAUGCUUCAUCACUGACUGACCUGUUCACUCUCUGUCU